CCUACGGGUUGCAGCAGUGAGGAAUAUUGGUCAAUGGACGAGAGUCUGAACCAGCCAAGUAGCGUGAAGGAUGACUGCCCUAUGGGUUGUAAACUUCUUUUAUCUGGGAAUAAAGUGUACCACGUGUGCGUUUUUGUAUGUACCAUAUGAAUAAGGAUCGGCUAACUCCGUUCCAGCAGCCGCGGUAAUACGGAGGAUCCGAGCGUUCUCCGGAUUUAUUGGGGUUAAAGGGAGCGUAGGGGGAUUGUUAAGUCAGUUGUGAAAGUUUGCGGCUCAACCGUAAAAUUGCAGUUGAUACUGGCAGUCUUGAGUACAGUAGAGGUAGGCGGAAUUCGUGGUGUAGCGGUGAAAUGCUUAGAUAUCACGAAGAACUCCGAUUGCGAAGGCAGUUCACUGGACUGCAACUGACACUGAGGCUCGAAAGUGUGGGUAUCAAACAGGAUUAGAUACCCGGGUAGUC
rnacentral:rRNA from 1 species